rnacentral:rRNA from 1 species
CUCAGGCUAAACGCUGGCGGCGUGCCUAAUGCAUGCAAGUCGAACGGGCGAGACCUUCGGGUUUUGUCAGUGGCGGACGGGUGAGGAACACGUACGAGACCUGCCCCGAGAUGGGGAAUAAGCCCGCGAAAGUGGGUCUAAUGCCGCAUACGGUCCCUGGCAGCAAGGCUGGGGAGGAAAGGCCUUCGGGUCGUCUUGGGAGGGGCGUGCGUCCGAUUAGCUAGUUGGUGGGGUAAGAGCCUACCAAGGCGACGAUCGGUAGCUGGUCUGAGAGGAUGGUCAGCCACACUGGGACUGAGAUACGGCCCAGACUCCUACGGGAGGCAGCAGCAGGGAAUCUUGCGCAAUGGGCGAAAGCCUGACGCAGCAACGCCGCGUGGGUGAGGAAGGCCUUCGGGUCGUAAAGCCCUUUUCUGGGGGACGAAGAACUGACGGUACCCCAGGAAGAAGCCACGGCUAACUACGUGCCAGCAGCCGCGGUAAGACGUAGGUGGCAAGCGUUGUCCGGAGUUAUUGGGCGUAAAGCGCGCGCAGGCGGCCUGGUAAGUCCAUGGUGAAAGCGCCCGGCUCAACUGGGCGAGGGCCGUAGGGACUGCCCGGCUGGAGGGGAGCAGAGGCGAGUGGAAUUCCGGGUGUAGUGGUGAAAUGCGUAGAGAUCCGGAGGAACACCAGUGGCGAAGGCGGCUCGCUGGGCUCAACCUGACGCUGAGGCG